UGGAAGACCACCGCAUUGAUUCUUUUGACAACAACAGCUGAGUGGCUACCCCAAACUGCAUGAUAACAGUGCCUAAAACUAGUUGCUGCUCUAACAAGGCAGAUUCCCCGCAAUCAUGAAACCUCAUUGGUGACAUCAACGAGAUAAGACUCAAGGACUGUCAGAAAAGAGAAUUAACCUUUUGGCCCGUCAAGACCUCAACACAGACAGCAGUCAAUACAAGGUUCACCAGCUGACCUCUAAUCAAGACACCCAUGUCAACCGGAUUCCCACUGUGGAGAUGAGCAAUGCCACAUCAGUUUCUACUUCUACUUUGUCCUUUUCCAAAAAUGAAAGGACACAUCCGUCAGUUAUACGAGAUUGUUAUAGGCUGUGCUUUGGACAAUCUGAAUGAUUCUGUUGAGCCAUUUCCGUAGAGAGCACAUUCACCUUGUCAUCAUGACAAACGUGCCCCCUUAAACUGUGUGAAUAUAUAAAGUGUAAUUUGGAAAGUGUAAAAUAAUAUUGUUGAUAUUGUAAACAUACUGUAAUUUAAUAUUAGGCUAUAUUGUUGUAUGAGUGAAAUGACAAGUAUUUUGUCGUCUCUGCUCUGCCUAACCCCAUUGAAUAUUGUAAAUAUCAAAAGUAAGCUUUGGCAAUAUGUAUAUUGUUACGUCAUGCCAAUAAAGAUAAUUGAAUUGAGA